GUCAAUAGUGCCGGGACCCCCUCCCACAGUAAGUAGUCAAACCGUUUAAGAACAGUUUGACAACUUACCUGAGAUCUGCUAGGAAAUGGGGCUGUAGUAAGGUAUAGGAGCAGUGGUGUGUGUGAGUGGUGCAAUGUGUAAGGGGUGCAGUGUGUGUGUGUGUGUGUGUGUGUGAAGGUUGUAGUGUGUGAGUGAGGGCGGCAGUGUAUGUCAGGGAUGCAGUGUAUGUGUGUAACAGUUGCAGUGUGUGUGAGUAUUGCAGUGUGUAUG